GGCGGUUCUCAGGUGAUGCACCCCGGAAUCAAGCUCCCUCCUCUCUGGUUCCAUGUGUGUCACCUGAGGCCCACA
rfam:Myotis lucifugus cont2.38677, whole genome shotgun sequence.